GGGAGACUGAAGAGGCCUCCUCCUGCUGCUUUCAUCAGUACAUUUACACUGAAGAAAUGCAAACAUUCGUUGAAGACAGUGUGUCUAACCAAAGAUAUGUAGUUGCAAGC